GCAGGCGCAGUUCUGAUGGACAUCAUUGGCACCUGCUGUGCCCCAUUAAGCCGGUGAUAUCAAUGGUAGAAGCUGGCGUUUUGCGUGCUGUUCCGAGACUUGGGACAUGAUGAGAAGAACACUAGGCAAGGAGUUAGGAGACCCCGGAUUUAGUGCAGGUUGGGUCAAAAAAGUUAAACUAUUACCAGGUCUGGUGGUGGUCACCUGUAAUCCCAGCGACUUUGGAGGCCAAGGGAGGAGGAUUGAAAGUUUAAGGCCAGCUUGGAAAACUUGUUGCAGCAGCUGGUUACAGGGUGCAAAUGGCCAGAGAAGGAAGACCUAUGUCAAGGGAUCAGAUACCCAGGAUUGCACAAUUCAGCUCCUCUAGGAAUUAAGCCUCGAGCCUGUAUGUUUCCAGGUAAAAGUGUUAAGAGGAUCAACUGCCCUUCAAGUACAUUUUGAAGAAGAGAAUCAGUCUACCAUAGCUUGUUAACUUGGCCAAAAGUACAACAUAUUCAACAGCCUGAAUCUCACAGGAAACAAGAAAAAGAACAGCCUUCAAAAGGAAAAGGUCAAAAUAGCAAGCAAAACAAAGUAACAGAAACAAAUAAGCAAGCAGACAGGCAUAAAUGUAUAUUUUGACUGAAAAAGUAGUUUUUAACAGGAAAGAUUGUUGCUACUUUAAACUCCAGGAAUAUGAAAUAAUUUUACAUUUAGCAGCUAAUUAGAAAGACAUUUUAUGUUAAAUAAGAUAAUCCAUAUAACACACAGCAUGGAGUCCUGCAUAUGAGAAAUGAUUUAUAAAUGUUAACCAUUAUUAUUAUUGACUAGUCAAUCAAAAAUAAUUAAUUUUGUGAACUAA